rnacentral:rRNA from 1 species
GAUGAACGCUGGCGGCGUGCCUAAUACAUGCAAGUCGAGCGAACAGAUGAGAAGCUUGCUUCUCUGAUGUUAGCGGCGGACGGGUGAGUAACACGUGGGUAACCUACCUAUAAGACUGGGAUAACUCCGGGAAACCGGGGCUAAUACCGGAUAAUAUUUUGAACCGCAUGGUUCGAGAGUGAAAGACGGUUUCGGCUGUCACUUAUACAUGGACCCGCGCCGUAUUAGCUAGUUGGUAAGGUAACGGCUUAGCAAGGCGACGAUACGUAGCCGACCUGAGAGGGUGAUCGGCCACACUGAAACUGAGACACGGUCCAGACUCCUACGGGAGGCAGCAGUAGGGAAUCUUCCGCAAUGGGCGAAAGCCUGACGGAGCAACGCCGCGUGAGUGAUGAAGGUCUUCGGAUCAUAAAACUCUGUUGUUAGGGAAGAACAAAUUUGUUAGUAACUGAACAAGUCUUGACGGUACCUAACCAGAAAGCCACGGCUAACUACGUGCCAGCCGCCGCCGUAA